rnacentral:rRNA from 1 species
CAGAAGCGUAUAUUAAUGUUGUUGCAGUUAAAACGCUCGUAGUUGGAUCUUGGAGGUUUAUUCGAGAGAAUAAGUUUUUAAAUUAUUUUUUUGUAAUUUAAGAAUGGAAGGGAUUUCUGUCCGCCUGAAGGUGAGUACGGACCCUCCGCCUCUGUAUUUGGUAAUAAUGCAUAAUAAAUCUUAAUUGAUUUUAUUAUGAGUUGGAGGAGUAAUGUCUAAAGACGAGGUGUUUAAAGAAAGAUAAUUUAUUAUCAUUUUUUAUCACAGCAUUUUACCUCAUUUACUUUGAAAAAAAUAGAGUGCUCAAAGCAGACCUUAGGGUCAUUGAAUAAUUCAGCAUGGGAUAAUAGAAUAUGAGUUUAUUUAAUUCAUUUUGUUGGUAUCGUGAAUUUAAACUAAUGAUUAACAGGGACCGUCGGGGUGGUUUGUAUUGAAAAGCUAGAGGUGAAAUUCUUGGAUUUUUUCAAGACAAACAACUGCGAAAGCAAUCUACUAGGAGGUAUUCAUUAA